CUUUUCUUUAAAUCAUUCCUUAAUACACAUUCAAAACAAUAAAUAUAUUCAAUUUACUUAAAAUCAAUGCCAUCAAACACUUCCUGGGUAGUGACCUAUCAGCAGUUCUCAUAUUAACAUUGACAUAAUGGUGUUUCAUGAAAAAGGAUGGAAACUAUUGAUUGGCUGUCAGAUUGGAGCUUUGAUUGGAAGAUAAUCUUGUUCUACCUGCUCAUUGGUGUGAGAGCUCAUCACUGGUGUUGAGAAAAGGACUCAGUAACAUUUUACUUGAAGCCUGUAGUAAUAAUACUUUAUAACUUUUUAUAAGCAAGCCUUAUAAAAGGUUUAUACCUGCAGGCUUAUGUAAAGUGUUAUGGAGGACUCUCCCUCUCAUUCUCAAAUGAACAGGGACCAAAUGCAUCCUCGAAAGCCUUUAUUGGCUGGAUCAAACCAUACCCCUCUAAUAGCUGCUCAGUCGGUGCUGCUGUGUCACACCUCUUUUCUUCCCUCUGGAAACAGCAGUUAGGAUUAACACCUCUUCUUGUUAAUAAUUACAUUUUGUGAUUCAUCGGCAAUGCAAACACUGAUUAUACACAAACUUUGUAAACGUUCCUAUAAAUCUUUUUUAAAUCCUCUUCGGUGAUUGUGUGAAUGUCUGGGUAGCAGAUUUGAGUGAAUUAAUAUUAUUCAUAGUAUUCUUGGCCCCUGCAAUGAACAGUAUAGGUUAGCUGUCUAAAAACAAGCACAAGGUCAAGCACACUGUCCUAUGUUAACCCAGAUCACAAAGUAACACCCGUUUUGCACUCAUCCUUUAAAUGGUUGUCUUCAAAUACCCGCCGAGAAUCAUUGUGUCAACUAUUUUUUUUUAACCCUCACCUAUAACACAACAGCACACACUGGUAUUAAUAUAAAAACAAUGUUUGAUCUGUGAAAGGAAUCACUCAGUGAUUAGACAUGAUUAAAGAUGGCUGGAGAGAGAUGGUGAUAUUAUGGCAGGAAAAUUGUUGUUGUGAUAGGUGGAUUAUUUCUGCAAAGGUUCUCGUUUCUAAUGUUUUUCAAAUGUCUCUACAACGUCAGAUGCAUCCAUAAACAUAACCCACGGUUUGACUCUAGUGAAGAAAUAUUCUCUGAAGAAACUCUAGCAAAGAUAGAAAAGGAGCGCCAACCAGCUCAGCUGGUUCCAAACACCCGCACGGUGGGAGCUUGAAAAAGUAUUGAGUAUUCCAAAGCAAAUUGGGAGUUGUAGUCUUUAGUAUUCCAAAAAUGUCCAGGUUGGAUUUCUAUCAGUAUUUCAAAGUGUUUGAGGGCUACGUUUCAAGAAUAUUCCAAAGUGUGGUGACAUGAGCAUCCCUAAAAAGAUGCAGGAUUUUUCCCACUUUUUCUCCAUUCUGGAUUGAUGUAGUUUCUCCAGGAUUCCGACAUCCCUUGAUACUCGGGAAGCAGAAUGGGAAUGGUCAAACACAAACACACCACAGAGUCG
rnacentral:lncRNA from 1 species